rnacentral:rRNA from 1 species
UUGAACGCUGGCGGCAUGCCUUACACAUGCAAGUCGAACGGCAGCACGGGAGCAAUCCUGGUGGCGAGUGGCGAACGGGUGAGUAAUAUAUCGGAACGUGCCCAGUCGUGGGGGAUAACGUAGCGAAAGCUACGCUAAUACCGCAUACGAUCUAUGGAUGAAAGCGGGGGAUCGCAAGACCUCGCGCGAUUGGAGCGGCCGAUAUCAGAUUAGGUAGUUGGUGAGGUAAAGGCUCACCAAGCCGACGAUCUGUAGCUGGUCUGAGAGGACGACCAGCCACACUGGGACUGAGACACGGCCCAGACUCCUACGGGAGGCAGCAGUGGGGAAUAUUGGACAAUGGGCGCAAGCCUGAUCCAGCCAUGCCGCGUGCAGGAUGACGGUCCUAUGGAUUGUAAACUGCUUUUAUACAGGAAGAAACACUCCGACGUGUCGGAGCUUGACGGUACUGUAAGAAUAAGGAUCGGCUAACUCCGUG